rnacentral:rRNA from 1 species
GAUGAACGCUGGCGGCGUGCUUAACACAUGCAAGUCGAACGAUUGAAGCUGGAGCUUGCUCCGGCCGAUUUAGUGGCGGACGGGUGAGUAACGCGUGGGUAACCUGCCUCAUACAGGGGGAUAGCAGUUGGAAACGACUGGUAAAACCGCAUAAGCGCACGGUGUCGCAUGACACAGUGUGAAAACACUCCGGUGGUAUGAGAUGGACCCGCGUCUGAUUAGCUAGUUGGUGAGGUAACGGCCCACCAAGGCGACGAUCAGUAGCCGGCCUGAGAGGGUGAACGGCCACAUUGGGACUGAGACACGGCCCAAACUCCUACGGGAGGCAGCAGUGGGGAAUAUUGCACAAUGGGGGAAACCCUGAUGCAGCGACGCUGCGUGAGUGAUGAAGUAUUUCGGUAUGUAAAGCUCUAUCAGCAGGGAAG